CACUAAAAGCUUAACUCUGCUGAUACCUUUGCCUCUUUCUAAUAGGCAAAGUACAAGUUUGACACAAGGGGCCUUAGGCAACUGAUGGGUGUGGCCAUAUGUCUCAGCCAUGGGGUUCAUCCAUGGGAUUUGACCAUGAGAUAGAGAGAUCUGACGAGGCCCCAGCCAAGAAGGACCAAAUUGGCCAGGCUCUCUCUUUCAUCAACAACAGCACCCUUGAUGAUGAUGAAUCCACCAUAGUCAAUCGCUCUCCUUCCUCGACGUUCACUGCCACAAGCCACCAUCAAGGUGGUAUACUUGCUCUCUCCCUCCAUCUCUAGUCUCUACUUUUCUUGGACUCACCCACUCAAUCUCCCUUCUUCAAUCUGUGAUGGUGUGAGGGUUUGGGUUAUUUGAUGGUUAAUAUAUCUGAGCUAUGGUUGAAAUGGUUUUAGGGUUUGGUUGUGAUGGAUUUGGGUUUAGUGGUGGUGGAUCUAGGGAAGAAGAACAAGAAAAGGAAUGGAGAUUUUGGGUGUGGCUUGUUAUGGGUCUUUGAUGAUUUUGUUGGGUUUGAGAAAAUGGGGGCUUUGGGAUUUAUGAAUUUGUAUUUGAGCUUAUUUUUUUGGGUUUUUGGUGUUUGUUUCCUAAGAAAAUAUAGGUUUAUGGAUUUGUUGGAGAUUGGUUUGUUUAUUGAGUUUAUGGGUUUGAUUUGUUGGAGAAUUCGGUGUUGUAUGGCAAAUUAGUUAUUCAAUUA